UCCACGCCCUAAACGAUGAACACUAGUCGUCGCUCUGCUAGUCAGGGCGGUGAUGCACUUAACAGAUUAAGUGUUCCGCCUGGGGAGUACGGUCGCAAGAUUAAAACUCAAAGGAAUAGACGGGGACCCGCACAAGUGGUGGAGCAUGUGGUUUAAUUCGAAAAUACGCGAAGAACCUUACCUAGCCUUGACAUUGAAGAAACACAGUAGAGAUACAGUGGUGCCCUUCGGGG
rnacentral:rRNA from 1 species